GUUUUUAAAAGAUUUUUAAAGAAUUUACAAGAAGACCCUUUAAAAACUGUUGUAAAUCUUUUUAAAACCUUUUAAAAUCCUUUGUAAAUCUUUUAAAAUCCUUUGUAAAUUUUUUUAAAUCCUUUUAAAAUCCCUUGUAAAUCUUUUAAAAUCUUUUAAAAAUCUCUUGUAAAUCUAUUUCCCGCAAAAAAAAUUUACAAGGAUUUUUAAUUUUUGGCUGAUAAAAAAAAUAUUACGGAAAACAAAUUUCGCGAGAAAUUUUUUUUUGGAGGGAAUUUAUUUUUUUGCGGGAAAAAAGUUUGGCGGUAUUGUUUUUUUUGGCGGGAAAAAAAAAAUAUGGCGGGAAAAUUUCAGUUUCCAAUUACAUGUUACUAUUAGAUGAGGGUAAUUUGGUCAUUCUGUUCAAGGGAAAAGGUAUUUUUAAAAAAGAACCACAUAUAAGGGUAUUGUUGCAAAAGGGUAGUUUUGCAAAUCUCCCAAGAAUUAAAUUCUUUUAAUUAUAGAAUCUAAUCCAUAAUCACUCUUUUAU
rnacentral:sRNA from 1 species